ACAUAAAAUAUAACAUUUAUUUAUGUCCAAAUAAGCAGUUAAAACAACAUUAUAAUUUUUUAUUGUAACAAUAUGGUUUAAUUCCAUUGACUCAUCACAGUACUUCUUGGAUAUUAUUUCAUAUUUUGCUCUGCUUAGCAUUAUACUGGAGCGUGGAAUACGUACAUUCCUAUGUGUAUAAUGAAUUAGUCAAGUCCCAACAACAGCUGGAUUAUAAUAAUAUUAAUGCUUGUAUAGAUCUAAUAUUGUUAUUAUAAAUACAAUUUAUCUCUAAUAUCAAUCUUCACAUUACUCAGAGUUUGCUUCAUCUGGUAUUCACAUUACCAUUUUAGGAGAUAAGGGUUUCUCUGGUCUAGUGUAUUUGUGUUAUUCUAAUAUUUAUUAGUUAUAAUUGGUAUAAGUUUUAUCGUCUUUAAACUGUAUUUAAUUGUAUUAACUAACAAAUACAGGUCUUGAGUAUCUUUAAUUUGUAAAAUAUAACCUAGAAACCUAUAAUUAUGUCUAUCCAAAAGGCCAGCUAGUACAGUAGGAAUAACCAACCAACUUCUCUGACUAAGUGUAUAGGAUUAGGUAUAAAUAUCGACAGCUCCCUUACUUUCCAUUUCAGGGACCAAUGCGUGUUAUAGUAUUAAUUUUACAACAGUUGAAUAUUUAAGACCAAAUGCAUAUCAAAGCAGUGUGCUAGUGGUAUUUUUGUGAAACACCAUAUUAUGCAAUGGAAAUUACCAUUAGCUAAAUGAAAAAAUUUCUGGUUAAGAUCAAGCAAAGGUUAAAUACUUUCAGAACAUAUUUAGUUGGGACAACCAUUUGGCACAGGUAUUAAAAAUUAAAUUUUGUAUUAAAAUGUUAUUAAAACUAUUAUUGGACUUUACCAUUAUGUUAUUAUCGUUAUUAGCCUACAAACAACCUUCAAAAUUUACUUUCAACAAACCACAUUAUUUUACUAGUU